rnacentral:lncRNA from 1 species
UCGAGCACUGCUUCAAGAACUGGUAACUUUUUAUUCCUUGUACAGUAAUACUUAUUUUUGGGGCAAUGUCUUCUUCCCAAUCUUCUAGUAAUAAGAAUCCGGCUUGGAAAUAUGCCAAACUAAAUCCGAAAGAUAGAAAUUAUGUGAUUUGCAUGCUCAGUGGAAAUACUUAUAUGGGUGGUAUUUUUCGACUAAAAAAAAACACUUCGCCGGAAUUUCUGAGAGUGUAAGAGCGUGCCCGCAAGCUAUCGAUGAAAUAAAUAAGGAGAUUAGAGAAUACAUGGAUAGAUCGAAAAACAAUAAAGAGAAGAAAAAAAUGAAAAGAAAAGAAUUACUUGAUGAUAUGGAGUUAUUUGAUGAUGAUGAUGAUGAUGAUUAUGAUGAUGAUGAUGAUAUAUCUGAAGUUGCAAUGAGGCAAAGGGGUACUCGAACUCCAAUAUCAAGAGAGAGGGUUAUAAAUAUUGGUGGUAGUGUUAAAAAUAGAACACCUCUCUCUAGGGGGCCAAUGGAUGUUUUUUUCGCCCCUAACGCCGAAAUUGUGGUUUAGGAGACGCAAAAAAAAAAAACAAACUACAAUUGAAAAUAGAUACAAGAAAGAACGGAGGAAGUCGGUGUGUAAGUGGAUUGCAAAGUGGAUUUACAUGGCCGACAUUCCUUUUAAUACUAUAACUCUCGAUAGUUUUGCAUGUAUGGUGCAGACAAUUAGGCAAUAUGGCCCAGGACUUGUUCCUCCUUCAUUACAUGAGGUUAGGGAGCCCUUGUUGAAAGAUGUUGUAUUUGAUGUCAAGAAAAUUUUGAUUUCUCAAAGAGAUGGGUGGGAGCAAUAUGGGGCCACUAUUUUGUGUGAUGGUUGGUCUGAUGGGAAGUCGAGGGCAUUCAUUAAUUUUUUGGUUAAUUAUCCAAAAAGUACUUUUUUUGUUAAGUCUGUUGAUGCAUUAGACAAGUCACAUAAUGCUACAUACUUGUGUGGCUUGAUAGAUGAGAUUGUAGAGUUUGUUGCAGAGAAAAAUGUGGUACAAAUUGUCACUGACAAUGGUACCAAUUAUGUUGCAGUUGGGCAUUUCUUGACUUUGAAAAGGACGCAUAUGUUUUGGACUCCUUAUGCAGCUCAUUGUGUUAAUAUUAUGCUAAAGGAAAUGGGUACUUCUUUAUUUAGUGGGGUGAUUUCAAGAGCUAUGUUUGUUGUUGGAUUUAUUUACAAUCACACCAUAGUCCGAAGCAUGAUGAGAUUUUUUACAAAGAAGAGAGAAUUAGUGAGACCGGGUAUUACUAGAUUUGUCACGUCAUUUCUCACUCUUCGAAGCCUAGCCAAGCAAAAAAGUGCCUUGAGGACCAUGUUUGCUUCAUAAUGAUGGAGUCAAAGUAAAUGGUCAAAGCAGGGAGAAACGCUGAAAAAAUUAUUUUGAAUACGUCUUUUUGAAGCGAAAUAAUUCUUGCAUUGGAGGUGGCUCGCCUUUUAGUGAGAGUGCUUCGACUGGUUGAUGGUGAUGCGAAGCCCGCCAUGGGUUACAUACUUGACGCAAUGACUAGGGGAAGAGCAGAGAUAAAAAAUGUUUUAAAGGGGGAAAAUAUGCACAAGGCUAUACUUGAAAUUAUUGAUAGGAGUUGGGAUACCCAGCUUCAUAGGCACCUCCAUUCUCCUGGUUACUUUGUAAACCCAUCUCUUCACUACAAGCACCCAUCCAUUGAGUCAGAUCUUGUAAUAAAUGUUGGGUUCCUAGAUAUGCUUGAGAGGAUGGUGCCUGACAAAGAUAUCCAGGAUGAGAUCCAGAGCCAUGAAUUGAUUAAAGUUCAAGUUAGCAUUGGGAAACUUUGGGAGAGAUAUUGCUUAUGGUUGUUGAUUGUUGAAUUUUUUAUGAAGCUAGUUUCAAGUUUCUAGUUUCUAUCAGGGGAUAGUGGAUAUAGAAUUUCCAACAACUAAUAUUUUUGGAGUUAAUCAUUAAACUAAAAUACCUACUAUCACAUAUAUCAUCUCUAUAUUUUUUUCUAUGCAUUAACCUAUAUUUUUAGAUAUUUUAGAAUUUUUUUAUAUUUAUUGACCGCAUCGUCGCGAUGCACCCACAUUCGGACCGCAUUGAGCCGCAUCACCCCCCCCACCGCUUUUGGCCGCAUCCUGCAUUUUAAAAAACUGGAUAGAAUGGGAAUCAUGGAUGUUAGUGUCAAACGAAGACCAGUAAAGGAGUGCCUUUGAACUCUCUCAGCACAGCUCACUGGAGGUUUUGCCGUGAUGGAGGGUGCCUUUGAACUCUUUCAGCACAGCUCACUGGAGGUUUUGCCGUGAUGGAGGGUGCCUUUGUGUCCCAUAAGCCUGUUAUUGAGUGUGUCUUCCUUUGAAUGGAGCAGGGGAAGCAUGCUAUGUUUAUAUGUCCUUUUAUUGUGAUAGUUGUGAUGCUUGUUUGUGAAAAUGAAGCUUUGUUAGUAUGGGUAAUUAGAUUUUUUUUCCAUGAUGGGAAGCACUUAGCCUUGUUAAUAUGGGUAAGUAAAAUCUGUUUCACGAGAGAACACUUAGCGUCACUGUUGAGUGUUGUACUUCGAAGUUUGAAAGAAACGUUGAGCUUGAGUUGUGGUUCCAAGGAUCAGUCGGAUUUUUUGGAGAAUUCAGUUAAUUGCAAAUACGCCUGGGACUUUGCCAAGAGUAGUGCCCUAUUGAGUUUUUUGCUACAUCAAUAUAUGUACUGCAUAAUGCCAUGUCAGAGUUGCAAAGUUGGAUUUGAACUCGAAAAAUAAAAUUGCAGAUGUGAACACCUUAACUGGGAAUCCUAUGAGUGACAAACUUCCAUGCAGUCCAAGAAAACCUAGUCAGUCCUAAGUGUUUCCUGUUUCCCUUUUUUAUUUUUGAUCGAGUCAAACUUUCCAAAUAUUCAAUAAUAACUACAAUGUUGCUUUCUUUGUGCCUCGAUUUGAGGCUUGUGGGCUUGUGGGCCACGAUUACAUCAUUUAGACCAUAGUUGCCGGGAUCCUCCUGCGAAGAUGUCGAUUCUGCUCUGAAAUCCUGAUCCUGAGCUCCUGAGAAGGGAACCUCACACCUCUGCAAUUCUUAAAUUUUUGAAUCUCGACCCUUCUUAGUAGGGAUUGACAUCCUGCAUUACAUAGGAUUCAGAUUCCCUAGCAUAGCUGUACAACAUGGUAUAGCAAUGUGGCAUGAUAAUGUAGUCUAGCAGUGUGAUAAAGUAUAGUAGUAUGUGUUAUGUAGAAUGAUAUAUAUUAUAUAGUUGUAUGCAAUAGAUUUAAAUAUCAUCAUCAUCAUCGGAGUUUUUUCCCAACUAUUUGGCAUCGGUUACAUGAAUCCUGGUUUGUCAUUCUGCCCUAUCAAGGGCCAUAUCUGUAGUGAGGCCAUAAGUCCCCAUAUCUUUUCUCACUAGUAGAUUUAAAUAUAAUAGGACAUAAUAUACUAUUGUUGAAUAUAAUAUAUAACAUAAUAUAACAGUGUAGUAUUGUAUAACAGUGCGGGAUAUUUUAUGAUAUCUCAACGAUUUUUUGACAUUUCCUGUAUUCUGGCUAGGGCUUCUUGCUCUAAAUAUUGAAAUCUUGAAUCUUUUGGGUACCAAAAUAUUUCUUCCAAUUUCUUGUUAUCUUUACUUGUGUUUGUGUGUUUGCAUAAUCUGAUGCCUUUCUUCACUGCUCUCUUAUCAUGCUGUUGGUAUAGAUAACCAUAGUUGAAUAUCAUUUGUUCUCUCUCUCUCUCAUGCUAUUUUCAUUCUAUGCUGCAUGUAGUUGACCAUUGAAGGAUGAAGAUGAAACCUUGCAGGUGAAGUCCAUACGAAAUUUUUAGAGAGCUAAGCAUGCUUAUGUGCAUGUUACACCAGGCAGGGUCUCAAAGCUCCAAUAAGGUCGCUCCGAGAGGUAGCGGAGCAUGUACGUGUGAUAAUUUUUGGGAUUAAUCUUAAAGAAAGUUGGUUUCCUUGGGUUCCCAAACUCCUGUAAGCUUCUUUUAUCGGAGCGUUUGAAUGGUUGUUUGCUGGGGAAUUCCUUGUGCCUCCCUUUUAAAGGAUUGAUUACUUUUUUCAACGAAUUGUUUUUCAGUGAUGUCAUGGACAGGUGAUUGUGUUUUCUCACCAUUCAUUAUCUCUUGCGUCACGAGAGAGGAAUGUUUUUUUGUUUUGUUGAUGGGGAAGACGAGAGCGGGGGGGGUUGGGUUUGUGGUUCCAUUAAUGAGAGGAAGUCAAAAGUCGCCUAAUUUGUUGAUUAUGAUUUGUUUUGAAUAUAAAGAACAUUGCAUUAGUGAGAAUUAUUUUUCUCUUCUUUCUAGUUUCCAAAAAGAAAUUCCCAACAAAACAAGUUUCUUGGUUAUUAAGAUUUUAUUAGACUAGAAGUCGGG